GCCGGACCUUCGGCAUAGCAAGGUGCCAGAGAGCUGUGACUGCGCCAAGGGCUAAAGUAUUGUGUGUUGUUUCUUCGUGUGCAGGACCUGAGCCCUAGGACCAUGCCCCAGAACUACCUGACAUGAUGACUCCUCACUGUCCCCAGUCCACCUGGCCGUGCAGCUGCUCCAGUUUCAACUGUUCUGCCUUAUUAUUAUUUGACCAUGCUGGUCAUUUAUGAACAUUUGAACAUCUUGGCCAUGUUCUGUUAUAAUCUCCACCCCACAUAGCCUGGUUCCUCUCUAGGUUUCUUCCUAGGUUUUGGCCUUUCUAGGGAGUUUUUCCUAGCCACCGUGCUUCUACACCUGCAUUGCUUGCUGUUUGGGGUUUUAGGCUGGCUUUCUGUACAGCACUUUGAGAUAUCAGCUGAUGUACGAAUGGCUAUAUAAAUAAAUUUGAUUUGAUUUGA